AGUGGCCCUUAUUGAAGCUGCUGCUGCUUCCACAUAGCUGCUGCAGUCAAAAAGGGGCCCAGAGUGACAGUUUUCCUUGACAGUCACCAUUCUGUUUGCUGUAAUUGAUCUGCAACAUUUUUUUUGGGGGGGGGGGAAUUUU